ACCUUAAAACAACCGUUUAAUCGUCUGUAUGUACCCGCCACCUCUGCUCUCUCUUCAGACGAUACGACCUGUAGUCUAUAGAGGCAACAGCAGCGGCGGUGAUUUCAUUGGGAGCAGAUUUCUUUUCGGGGUUUUCCGCCCAGAUCUUCUGUUCGGUGGCUCCUUUUUCUUCAUAUAGUGAGGAGGAAGGCUGUGAACCAUUCUAGUUUCCAUGGCUACUGAAACAGCUAUUCAGGAUCCAAGAAAACAUGCUUUGGAGGCAUUGAAGAGGAGGUUUGCCUUUGUCGAGGCUGAUCUGAUACAACAAAAGAACAAAAAGAGUAUAAAAGAAGGAGAUGGAAAAGAACCUCAUAGGACAACUUCUUUAGCAGAUAAAACUGAUGCAGCAGUCACUCCCUCAUUUGGUGCUCAACACAAGAAAGAUCCUGAAGAAAAUGCUCCAGCAUAUUUGCAGCUCUCUCAAGCUGUACAUGAGAAUCUGCUGUCAACCAAUAUUAAGCUUUAUAGUAGAAAAGGAGACAUGGUCGAUAAGAUUUUAGACGAGCUUCUUCAGAAUGGUGAUAUGGCUCAGAAGUACAUGCAGAAGUCCAGAAAAAUAAAUAUUGACCAUUUCGUCCUUCUUGAUAAUUAUGUACAAGGACGUGGCGUAUCUACUGGUUCUCAUAUCAGGGCUUUGUGGAUGCAUUCAAAGCGUUCUAAAAAGCACAUGUCCGUGAAACAGCAUAAAAAAUGUGGAUCAUUUGAUUUGCCCCAAGAGCUUCAUAAGUCUGAUGUUUUUAGGCCUAUGCAUGAAAUGUGGAAAGGCUACAUGAUGCAACUGCUUGAAACUGUCGGGAAAAAUCAGUUGGCUCAGUGUCUUCCCAACGCAGAUCUACAUGGUGCUUUCAUUCUAGUUGCUGAGUGUAAAGCAACUUCUUUCACAGGAGUAAGCGGCAUUAUGAUUCGUGAAACUGCAGAAACAUUUGGGAUAAUUACACAAGAUGGUGUAUUCCGAGUUGUGCCCAAAAAGAUUUCUGUCUUUAUUUUCCAAGUUGAUUGCUGGAAAGUUACAUUGCAUGGGGACAAACUCACUUCAAGAAAUUUGGGCUUGUGAUCUUGAUAUUCAUCAUUGCAUCCAAGAAACUCAGAAUUUAUUUAGGUCCAACUUUGAUGGAGCUACAGGAAAGCACAAAAUGUGUAUCAAGCGAUAUCAGUGAUGGCCCCAUUCCGAGAUUCAUUAAGAUCAAGUUCUAUGAAAAUAUAGAAUCUAGCGGCAGCUAAGACAGUUUGGUUUUACUUUUUAGACAGAAAACUAUGACAAGAAGGACAAACCUAUCUUCAAGGUGAUUGCACUGCCAGGUGGUCUAUCCUGUUCUUUCAUUUAUAUGUUGUGCUUGACAGUACAAAAUAGGCAUGAGAAAUGCUGUUUAUGAUCGGUCUGGAAAAACUUACUUAGCUUUUAAUAUUUAUUUCUCUUUAUAUUUAAGUGAUUUUAAAGGAUGUGUUUUUGGUCAAGUAUUAAUCCUUAGUUUCUGUUAAAAAUAGCAACUCU